rnacentral:lncRNA from 1 species
UAACAAUCAAUCGAGAUUGCUUCAUCUGUAUUGUAUUUCAACUUUUUAAAUCCAUCUCCUGGAUUACUUUGGCCAAGGCUUUGCUAAAUUGAAAUACAGUGAUACAUCAACUUCAAUAAUCUGAAGGGGUCAAUCCCAUCUUGUUCUACAUACAGACUUUAUAAGUACUUGAUUGUAUCCAGUAGCCUUCCAUCACUGCAUU